UUUCGCAAUCGAAACUCUCGUGCUCGUGCUCACAUUUCUGCGCUCUCACAUCUACUGCUCUCAUACAAUUUACGGGUGUGUCCGCCUGUUUUUAGUGUUGUUGUUGCAAUUAAACCGGUUAAUAGCUGCGAAAAUGCUAAAAGCAUACACGCAGACUAACUGAGAGCGCCACCCAACACCCAAAGAGGUGCGCGCCUAAGCUCACACGAAGUGCUCACGCAUACUCUGCCGAAAUAUUUGUGGCUGUUUGCAUGCGUGUGUGUGUGAAAUACAUGUACGCCACCAACGCGACAAUCCAACGCUAUAACACAAAGCAUUUACGCUCUCAUUUCUCGCGUAGUAGUCGCCAAGCUUUGCUAAAACGCUAGGCAGCAACGAGUAGCGAACGUCACUGGCCGCAUCAGUCGACAUCAAAUGAUGAAACUGUGCUCAUCUCGCAGCAACUCCACUCUGUUGAAUGUUGUGAUCGAUCAACGACUUAGAAUUGACACCUGUCGAUAUCUAAUGGAAAUUCAGUCGCGUCGUCUAGCGGGAGAAUAGAACAAAAUUCUUACACAAAAAAGUUGUGUUUGUCAAUUGACGUCAGCGUUCACCUCGCCGAAAAUUGAAUUAAAAAUUUAAACGCUUCGCAUACAACAAAUAGCGAGCACAAAACAAUCGUGAAAAAUAACAAAAAUAAAGGCAAAAGCGUUAAACAAGUAAAAGUGGAAGCUAAAGCAAACGAAAAAAUAUAGAAUUUUAAAAUUCGAUACAAAUCGGCUAUUUGUGGCACACGGGCAUCCGGUGGAAAUCGCAGAAAUAAAAAAAAAAAAAAAUGGUUUGCACAAAAAAAUAAAAUAAAUAACAACACAGAAAAAACAAAAAUAAUAUAAAAAAAAUAACUCUACGAAAAAAUUUAAAAAUUGUUAUUUAUACAUAUAUAUACAUAUGUAUGUACAUAUAUGUAUAUAUUUUUAUACUAUAUAAACACCUAGGUAAAUAAAAAUUGCGUAAAUCAACGCAAAAUAAUUUGAAAACGAAAGUGUCAUUGAAAAGUUUUUGAUAUCUACUCAAAAUUACACCGAAGCUGGUUAGACCUGUUCCUACAUCUAUGGAGUUUCAUCUAGACAGUGCAGAAUACUGCCAAGCACAGCACAAAUAAAAAGGAAAAGAGUUUGCAAAACAGCGUAAGAAACGUAAAAAGGACGAGAGUUGGAACUUGUUGGAAGCGCGUCCAGUUGGGAGACAGUUAGACAGGAGAUAGCAGUGAUAGCGCGCGGUACGGAAAAGCAAGCGAGAUUUAGCGUAGAAACAAUUUUCGAAUUUUCUUUAAAACAACAAAUUAAUUGGAUUUUCAAACAAGUGUUGGCUGAGGCAGUAAGAAAGAGAUAGAGAGCAACUACAAAAAGCGCGCAUAUCAGAAGAAUUGGUAUAUACAAAUUCGGUUUUAGCUAAAACAAAAAAAACAAAACAAGCAAAAGAAAGCAAAAAAGCAACGAAAAAUAGCUGAUUAAAUGACAGAAUUAUUGCGAAAUUAAAUUGUUGUACAAUUAAAGAGUUAUUGCUAUACAAUUAAAGAGUAAUUAAACUCCAACAACUAAAACGCCAAUAGGGAUUUCGUAACGGCUGAAAAUCCGGCAGGUUUUGUGCAAACAAACAACAACAAAAAAGCAAGCGACAGCUGCAAAGAAAAACUAUUUUUGAAAAACUUUUUUCUAAUUACUUUUUUGUGAUAAUUUUUAAGCUAAAAAUAUAUAAAUACCAACAACAACUCAUAACUCCCAAAAACAAAAACAAAAAACCUACUAAAAUAUUGUACUUAAUUUUAAAAUUUUGCGCUAAUUACAAAACAAUUUCCGUAUAAAAGCUUCAAUUUGCACAUUAAAUACUUAAAUUAUAUUUAUACAAAAUAUUUACAAAAACAAAAAACCAACAACAAAAUUAAUUAGCAUAAACUGCUGCAAGUGUUAUACACACAACUUCCGAUUUAUUGAAAGCAAACAAGAAGAAAGCAAAGGAAAUACAAGAAAAGAGAAUAAAAUAAAAUUUGCAGUCCAGUUUUGUGACAGAGGUUUUCAUUCUAUACACAGACUUUGGAGCGAUCACUGUUCAAUUUGUAACAAAAGCAGUCGACUCGCCGCAUCCAAAGCGUAAAAUUUUACAAAACAGCAGAACCGCAAAACCUAACCUACAAAGUCAAGUAAAAAAACACUUAGACAAAAACAACAAAACACCUCAGCGCUUGAAAGCAAAAGACAGCCGCAGAGCAUAAAGAGUAAAAGUGUGGAGCGUGAGCGCUAAAACAACAACAAAGUACUUCUACAACAAAAAAUAUUAUCUUUAAUACCAAAAAAACAACAA